GGAUGUGAGGGCGAUCUGGCUGCAACAUCUGUCACCUCAUUGAUCCCCAGGGUUGAUUCCGCUGAUCUGGCUGGCUAGGCGAGUGUCCCCUUCCUCCAUCACCGCUCCGUGUGCAUCCCUCCCGAAGCUGCACGCUCCGUCGAAGAGGAUGACCACCCCCAAUAGAGGAAGACCAUUUCCUCGCUCAUGGGUAUAUGAGUAACUGUGCUCCCCUGCUAAAACCUCCAAACAAGCUCUCAAGAAGUACAAACAAAUAAAUAUAUGAAAAAAUGUUCAACUCACUAGUCAUUUGAGAGAUGCAAAUUAAAACAAUGCUC
rfam:Heterocephalus glaber contig75583, whole genome shotgun sequence.